UGGGGAAUCUUCCGCAAUGGACGAAAGUCUGACGGAGCAACGCCGCGUGAACGAAGAAGGCCUUCGGGUCGUAAAGUUCUGUUGUUAGGGAAGAAUGUGCUUCUUGUAAAUAAUGAGAAGUAAUGACGGUACCUAAAGAGGAAGCCACGGCUAACUACGUGCCAGCAGCCGCGGUAAUACGGAGGUGGCGAGCGUUGUCCGGAAUUAUUGGGCGUAAAGAGCAUGUAGGUGGGAAUGUAAGUCUGUUGUUAAAAUGCGGGGCUCAGCCCCGUAUUGCACUGGAAACUACAUUUCUUGAGUGCAGGAGAGGCAAGGGGAAUUCCCAGUGUAGCGGUGAAAUGCGUAGAUAUUGGGAGGAACACCAGUGGCGAAGGCGCCUUUCUGGACUGUGUCUGACACUGAGAUGCGAAAGCUAGGGGAGCGAACGG
rnacentral:rRNA from 1 species